GACGAACGCUGGCGGCGUGCUUAACACAUGCAAGUCGAACGGAAAGGCCCUGCUUUUGUGGGUUGCUCGAGUGGCGAACGGGUGAGUAACACGUGAGUAACCUGCCCUUGACUUUGGGAUAACUUCAGGAAACUGGGGCUAAUACAGGAUAGGAGCUCCUGCUGCACGGGGGGGGUUGGAAAGUUUCGGCGGUGGUGGCUGGUCUCGCAGCUUAUGAGCUUGUUGGUGGGGUAGGGGCUUACCAAGGCUUUGACGGGUAGCCGGCCUGGGAGGGUGACCGGCCACCUUGGGCCUGCGAUACGGCCCAGACUCCUACGUGACGCAGCAGUGGGGAAUAUUGCACAAUGGGCGGACGCCUGUUGCAGCAACGCCGCGUGCGUGAUGCCGGCCUUCUGGUUGUAAACCGCUUUCGCCUGUGACGAAGCGUGAGUGACGGUACUGGGUAAAGAAGCACCGGCUAACUACGUG
rnacentral:rRNA from 1 species